rnacentral:rRNA from 1 species
UGUGUCCCGGUCGCUACUUGCAUCAUUGUACAGAUGAUGCAAGAUCGACUAUGUCGAAUAAAAUUCUAGGUAGAAUUAUGAUAAUGACAUUGUCUGCCUAUGUGUCUUGACCAAAUUACGUGCCAGCAGUCGCGGUAAUACGUAGAAGACUAGUGUUAUUCAUGUUUAAUCGGUUUAAAGGGUACCUAGACGGUAGAUCAAGCUUUUACAUAUAAAUUAUGUUAAUUAAAGGACUAAUUUGCUAGAGUUACUUACGAGGGGGUAUUAAAGUACUGCUGGUGUAGAGAUGAAAUUCUGUCAUACCUCUUUUCGAAAGAAAAAUCAUGGCACAGGUAUAGGCGAAGGCAUCCCCUUAUGUGAUAACUGACGUUGAGGGACGAAGGCUUUGUGUAACAAACAGGAUUAGAUACCCUAGUAGUUGAAGCAGAAAAUGAUGAAUGUCAUAGAUUAGAUAUAUAAGUUUAUUCUAUAAAUGAAAGUGUAAGCAUUCCACCUCAGGAGUAAUUUGGCAACAUUGGAAUUGAAAUCAUUAGACCGUUUCUGAAACCAGUAGUGAAGUAUGUUGUUUAAUUUGAUGAUCCGCAAAAAACCUUACCACAAUUUGAAUAUUUAUAUUUUUUUUUAUUGUUUUCUUCUUAAUUUUCUUCUAAUAACAUAUUCAACAUGUAAAAAGAAGAAAGUUAAUAAAGAGGCAAUAAUAUAUAUUUACAAGCGUUGCACGGCUGUCUUCAGUUAAUGUCGCGAGACUUUGGUUAGUUCCAUUAAAUUAACGUAAACCCUUACUUUAUUUUUAUAUAGAGUAGUUCCCCGCUAUAUUGGAUAUGAUAACAGGGACUAAGACAAGUCAUCAUGGCCUAAAUAUUGUG